rnacentral:lncRNA from 1 species
GGAUAGUACUUUACUUAACAUGGGAUUUUCAUGGGGUAUUAUGCUAUUUCCUAAAAUUUAGUUAAUUUUCUAGUGAAGUGAAGAUCCAAUUACUUCUUUCUUGGGAGUUCUGAGGUGCCGAAUUGAAUAUACUGGACUUGCAGCCAAAUUUUCAUGAGUUGUUUUUAUAUUGUAUGAUCUCAAGCAUUCUAGCUUGAAACGGUUACAGAAAAUAAGUGCUGUAAAUACUAGUUUAUUAAACUGCAUUUAGACAUUAAGGUAUCUGAAUUUAUAUUUAGCAAUUUGUACAAAGAUCCAACAAGGAUCAGAUGACCAAUGAUAGAAGAUGAACAUGGGAUGUUUAGGAGGUGGCUUGAAGUCAGAAAAAGGGAGGGAUCAGGGAGGAGUGUUGGGGAGCAACUCUGUGAAGAUAGGAAAAGAUAAUAAAUGAGCCUGGUGACAUGAAAGCAGGUGCUGCUUGGCUAGCAUGUGUCCGAGUCCUGGGCUUCCUCACUGCAGUCUGUUCUAUGUUCCUGUUAAAUCCUACUUCUAACUCUCUCUCACAUGUGUGCGUGUGUGUGUCUGUGUCUCUGUGUGGGUCUGUGUGUCUGUGUGUUCAGCCUCCCUGUUCCCUGUCGAGAAGGAACUGAAAUAGCCUCACAUGAACAUGCCUGGGACAGAAGAACUCUCACAGGUCCUGCAGUCUACCAAAUUCACCUACCUUAGGUUCACAAGAAGGUUAGAAAAGAAACUGUGUAUAAACAGACACGGAAUAAGACUGUUAAACCAGAUGGCUCUGUUAGUGACCACGGAAAAAAUAUUUUAUUGGCAAGACAUUAAUGUGCAGAAAUUUGCAAUCUUUGUACAGAAUUGUCUGCUACGUUAUUCCAAAAACCAUCUUCUCUGAAUAACCUUUUAACAGCUAUUUUUAGUCAGAAAUUAAAAGGGGUUGCCUAUGUUUAUUUAGAGAUAAGAACCUCCAAAUACUCUUUCCAUGUAUUUGGAGGAAGAAAAUCACUGUGCUUUCAUUUGCAUUGUUUUGGUCUGCCUCUUCUGGCAGUGGGAGACCUGCACUCCUCUACGCUUGUCCGUUACAUUACAGUUGCAACUUUGUUCAGACCUGCCUCGACUUCUUUCUCCUACAUCCAGACAGAUACUGGUCAUUUCUUUGCUGUUGGCAAGAUUAAUAGGGGUUUGCUAUGACAAAGACAAGUGUUGAUUUUGGUGGAACAGAACAUGGAGUCACAAGAAGAGCCUUGUAUUGCCGCAAAGGGUCUGUGGGAAAGUAGAAAUAUUGAAAAUAUAAAAAAAUAUUAAUUACUCUGCUAUUUUGAGGCUUUACUUAUUCUGCUCCGUUCAUUUAGUUUUGCAUGUUUACAAACAUUAUUGAAAGUGCUUUGAAAAGACAUCCCAUUUCCUGUAGAAGGGUGCCAGUUUAUAUCCUUGACUCGUAGGAGGAGUCAGAAACUGGGGAUGGAGGAUGGGGAAAGUGGUUCUUUGUCAUACGAGGGGUUGACAAACUUUCAGAAAAACCUAAAGAGAAUGAAAGAAAUAGAAUCAUCUGAACAGUGUUGAGAAAAAGAAAAAGAAAAACACAACAAAAACCCACCAACCAAAACCCAAAACAAAACAAAAAACAGAAAUGCUUUCCAAGGCCUUUGACAGGCAUGAAAUCAAUAAGUGGAAACUGCUUCCUUCUCUCAAGGUCUAUAAUGAGAGUAAGGUACUUCAGAGGGACGUUUUCUUUUAGUAACUGUGACACAGUGCUUCAUUGUGAAUAUGAUAAGCAAAGAUAAGCUUAAUGGAAAAUUGGAAAGGUGGCUCUCAGCAUGGUUAGAAUGCAAUCCACAGAGACUGCUUCUCUCUGCAGGGAUGGCAGAUUCUCUUAAAUGGCUAUGAAAAAAUGCUUUACCUUCUUUCACUACAUAUGUGAGAAUACAUUAGGGAAGAAUUUUUUCAUUCACCCAUCCAUUUAUCCAUCUACCUAUUUAUCUGUCUAUCUGUAAGUGCAGAUUUACAUCUAUAUCUAUACAGAUAUAUCUUACUAUCUAUAGAUAGUAUACACACAAAUGGUAUGCACAUAUACAUGUAUACAUAUACACACGAGCAAUUUUAUUUAUAUCACUUGCUGUAUCUGGUACCUUGGAUUUGCAAACACUUCUGAUCAUUUUGUUGAUUUUUUUUUUAAUUAUAAAUUAUUUUAAAUUUAGUUGAUGGAUCAACUUAUCAAAUAGAAAUGUAGCUAUUCAUGGGUGAACUAUCAUUUAACAGUUUCAGAGAAAUGACAUAGAAAGAUCUUUACUGAAGAGAUGCACACGUAAGAUCAGAUAACUAUUUUACCAAAGUAUUAAGCUUAGAUUAUGAAGCAUAAGUAACUAUUUCUUACUUCUGAGAAUAUGGAAACUAUGGAAACAUUUUAAUGUAGAGAGACUGAGAUAAAAGUUCUAAGCUAUAUGUGCAUGUGUGAGAGUACAGAGUGUAGGCACCAGCCAUUAAAGCAUAUUAGAAAUGUUAUAUUGUCUUGUUAUAAUAUAGUUUAGGAUUCAGAAUAAGAGGUAGUAUAGAAGUCCUCGUGUAAUUUUUCACUUAACUUAUCAGCUGUGAUACCAGAAAAAUAAAUUUUGCAUUCUUUUUUCCUUUCUUUCCA